GAUGAACGCUGGCGGCGUGCCUAAUACAUGCAAGUCGAGCGAACGGACGAGAAGCUUGCUUCUCUGAUGUUAGCGGCGGACGGGUGAGUAACACGUGGAUAACCUACCUAUAAGACUGGGAUAACUUCGGAAAACCGGAGCUAAUACCGGAUAAUAUUUUGAACCGCAUGGUUCAAAAGUGAAAGACGGUCUUGCUGUCACUUAUAGAUGGAUCCGCGCUGCAUUAGCUAGUUGGUAAGGUAACGGCUUACCAAGGCAACGAUGCAUAGCCGACCUGAGAGGGUGAUCGGCCACACUGGAACUGAGACACGGUCCAGACUCCUACGGGAGGCAGCAGUAGGGAAUCUUCCGCAAUGGGCGAAAGCCUGACGGAGCAACGCCGCGUGAGUGAUGAAGGUCUUCGGAUCGUAAAACUCUGUUAUUAGGGAAGAACAUAUGUGUAAGUAACUGUGCACAUCUUGACGGUACCUAAUCAGAAAGCCACGACUAACUACGUG
rnacentral:rRNA from 1 species